CAAGGAUGUUACACAGAGAAACUCUGUCUCAAAAAACAUCACCACCACUAGAUGAAACAACAAACAAAACCCACAGAAUUGUUCUUGAGAGUAUUAAUUGAUGUCCUGGAUGAAGUUGGCUACUGCAUGAGACUUUAUUCUGCCACAUUUAUCGUCUCCAUUCUUCCAUGUCCCACCACCUCUAGAGCAGUGACAAGUGGUAUCUGAAGUGGUAUCUGAAGAGGAAUCUGGUCAAAUACUUGAUAACAGCGUGGGGACCCUCACAGAAGCAUGGUCUUGACCCCUUUGCUCAUCACUCCUCCAUCUCUACAACUGGAUUCAAGGAGUUCAGCUCAGUGCUUAGCUGUGAAUCUCUGCUUCUGCUUCCAUCAGCUACUGGAUGAAGGCUCUAUGAUGACAUUUAAGGUAGACAUCCUUGAUUCUGAAAGACCCCUGCCCCUUAGCCCUUUCUUUCUCAAGUUUGUCUCCUCUUCCUCCUGUUGGCGGCUUCCCCGAUCCCCACCCCCGGUGGCCUUCCCCCGCCACCCGCCGCAUGCCUGGCCCGAGAACAAGCACCAGGUGGGCCGGCCCGAGAACGAGCACCGGGUGGGCCAGCACGAGGGCGAGCACCAGGUGGGUCGGCACGAGAACAAACACCAAGUGAUCCGGCCUGGAGCCCUGCCCCUGAGCCCCCGCCAGAAGAGAAACACUCCGUCCCAAGGUCUCCGCCCCCAAGGUCAGCCAUCAGGAAGCGGAGGGGAGGGGAAUUGAGUCUGCUGUACCAGACACCAGACCUUGAGAAUAUGCUGAUCUGGAAUGGCUCUGUGUCUCAUUUGAACCAUCCAAUAGAAAUGAUUCUGUAUUUCGCCUCAUUUGAAAGACUCUAUGUUUCACCUCAUUUGAAUAACUCUGUACUUUGCCUCAUUUGAAUAACCCUGUAUAGCGCCUCAUAUACAUUGACC
rnacentral:lncRNA from 1 species